AGGUGGUGUUUUGUUGGCUCUUGAUUACUUUCUGCUUGCUGGUGAUCACUUUAUCCAGGGUUAUUCAAUCUUUGACCUAGGGUUAUCAUCUAAAUUCGAUCCCCAAUUUCUCUCUCCUCAAGUCCUCAGUCUCUACCUUAGAUUUCAAUCUCUCUCCUCAGUCUUUACCUCAGAUUUCUCUCCUCAAGGGUUCAAUCUGAUCGAAAAUUAAUGUCGGGAUCUCUUGAUCGAUUUGCUCGCUUGCAUUCUGGGUAUGUCAAAUUCUGAUGAUUUAAUUUCCAGCGUUCUUGGUCGAAUUGUCGCUCAUGGAUUUCCAGGUUUUUGGGCCAACUCAACGAUUCCAAGCCUGGGAUGUACAGUCAAGCAAUCUUUAAGGGAAUUUGGAAGACAGGAAAAACCUCUUUUUCUACAAUUGAAAGAGGUUUGAUUCCUUCCACUGUGAUCAGAGAGGGAUUAUCUUGAAAUUUCUUCAGAUUCUUACAAUUUGAAGAUUUUAAAGGUUUAGAUUUUUUUUGGUGGUAGAUCUAUUGUUAGCGCCUAUUGAUCAUUACUCAGCGGGUCAUGCUAGCCCUUGAAAGUCGAGGUGCAUGCGGUGGGAUUAAAUCAUGGGUAAGGGUAAUACGAGGCUUUCAUGUAGCAAUGGGAUGCGGCUCAGGGAUAUUGCUAUAGCUAAUUCAAAAGGUGAAUGCUGAUGCAAAGAAUGGGCAUAGUGAUCCUAAAAAUGCAAUGAAGCACGUUGGAAGUUUUUCAGCUGGUAGUGUUGAUAUGUUAGAUGUCUAUCCUUUACAACUCAGGCUCUCUGUUUUGCGAGAAGCAAACUUAUUAGGUGUUAAAAUUAGUAAAAAGUUUUCGGUGGGUCGCUAAUUUGCAAGAGCCACAUUUCUUGAUGUUCCUACAACUGGUCUUCAGGUAGCCUUCCCUCAUUUGUUUGAUUUCAGAUCAGAAUAAUUUAUCAGGUAGCAUUUAGAUUGAUAUAAUUUGAUUUCUGUGGUGACUGAUGGGAAAAUAAUUAAUUCCCUGGUUGCACCUUACAUUAUAUACAUACAUCAAUUCGUGAUGCUAGGUAGCUUGUAGUUGGAAAAAAAAAAAAACUAGGUGACAAUCACGAAAACGUAAAGAGCUUGAUAGAACUAGACAUGAUGGUAACAAAAAUAAGAUGUAACAGAUUGAAUAACAGGAAACAAGACUUUGUAAAUUUAUAAUGAAAAGUAAUGGUCAUGAAGCCAAAUUAGGUAGUUUAUCAUGAUUGGUUUUUUGGUAGUUUUGACUCAUUGAUUGACUAACUAUGGAUAAGGAAACUACAAAAUAUUCUACACUUGCAAUUCUUUGUGCACGAUCUAAUUGGACAUGCUAUCAUCAUUGUAAACCAAAUUAGGUCAUCAUCCAACUUUUUCUUCCUUUUCUUUCAGUUCUCCAUUGAUAGAUGAUACUUUUUUUUUAUGUUCCAUGAUUUGACGAUUCUUGUCAAUGAUCUAUAUGCUUUAUCAUACUGUACUUGUUUGAUACUUUUUGAGUUUAAGAAAUUUAGCAGUAAGCACCAUUAGAGAAGUUAACUAAUGAUUUUUUCGUUGUUGAUUAUAUAGGCUUGAUAUUUGAUAACAAACACAAUAUCGUAGAUACUAUAUUAUAUUAAAUUAUGGCAUUUACUGGAACUCAUAACAAAUGCAAGGCUUGUACUAAACUGAGUAUUUUUGUGGAUUUGUUAUCAGCUGAUGGGGAAACUUUUCAUAAGUCUCGCAUCGGAUGCAACCACUGCAAUAUGAUAUGUCUCUUUAUUGUCACAUUAUUGCUUUGUGUCUAAAAAGGUCUUAAACUCUUGUAGAAAUUUCAAAGAAAGAUACGUUCUUAUGUCCCUUCUAUUUGAUAUUUUGAUCAUUGGCCUCAUGAUUUCCUCUACUUCACCUUUUUCUCGUUUCUAGAUUUUAAAAUGUGAUGUUCAUAUUAACUAAUUUCAUAUCAUAGAUAACAGUAAUAUAAAAUAUAAGUGUAUAAAUAAUUUAAUUGCUGAAUAACUUUGUUACAUUGACAAAUGAGCAGCUACUCUUCUAUGGAUGGGGUCCUCUAGCUUAACAAUUACAUUAACAUUUGUAGCUUUACACAACAUAGGAAGAAAGUGUUCUUAGCAUAAGAUUGCCGAGGUGUUUGCAAAUGAGGCAAACGUCACCCCUUUGAUGUGACGUCAUAUUUCUCCCUCUCUCCUCGUUCCAGCGGUUGCUGUGACAUCACUCCAUUUGUUGAUUUUCGAAGAUUUUAGGGGAUUAGGGUUUCUAGGUAGUGAUUAAUUAUGGGUUAAUUGGAGUAGAUCGUUGGAUUAUGGUGAGAUAUGAGGGUAUUUUGGGUUAAUAGAAGAUGGGUUGUGUUUUUGGGAAAGAGAUAGCAGCACAUGAGGGGAGGGAUAAAGGUGGGAGGAGAGAGAGAGAGAGUUUAGGGGUUGAAUCUGGUAGGAAGGUAGGUGUUGUGUCUGUUGCAGAUGUUGUGUCUGGUUGGGAUGCAGGGAAAGAAGGGGAAAAUGGGGGUGUUGAGAUGGUUGAGUUGAAUGAUGGUGGAAGGAAGGAGGAAGAGAAGAAGGGAAAGGUAGAAGUCAGAAGGCAAGAGGCGGCGAUCGAAGCCGAAUCCUAAGCUGAGUAAAUCCUCCUAAGAAUGUACAUGAUGAGCAGGUGGCAAUUGUUUCUGCCUGAUAUUUAGCUGGCCAAAUGGAAACAGGAUUCUUUUGUUCAACACCAUCCUCAUUCUUCAAUAAUAUUCAAUAGCUAACUUAAAAUUGUUGAUGUGACAGCAAUAAGGGUAGAUAGGACUUAAGAUGAUUUGUAUCUGACUUUGUUGGGAUGAAGGGUUUGGAGGGGUAAUUCUCAGUUGGAUGGUGGGGGGGGGGGGGGGUCUCCUUUGUGUGAAGGAUCAACACGUCUUUGAUUUUCAAGAGAUCUCGAGUCUUUAGUUUUUAAGAGAUCUCAACCAAAAAUGUUAACAAGUCUUAGAUUCUGUGUUCAUGGGUAAUGUACUGGCUUGGUGCUUUGUAUUUCUUCAAAAUUGAAAGAUUCCUUAUUAAAUGAAGUGUCUUUUAGUGCUGCAAAGGAAUAUGUAUUAGAAAACUGUAGCUUCUGAUUGUUUGAUGGGAUUAAGUAAUGUUCUUGGCUUUGCUUAAGGUACAUAAUGGUGGGGGGUGUUUGGACAAUUUUAUAUCACAUUUGUUUUAUUAGUUGUUUUUAGUUUUGAUAAAGAGCUUAUGGUCCUUAAACCAUAUCCGCUGCUUAACAUUUUAUUAAACUACUUUAUCUUCAUUUGAAAGAAAAGAAUCUAAUGCUUAGCAUAACAAAGGAGGAGAAAAAAUUGCUAGACUAAUUGAAUAUGCAUAAUUUGUUGGGCAAAUGUACUUUUUCAUGAGGUAUUCAUCAAUUGUGGCUCUUACACCGUUUAAUUUUUCUUUAUUGUUCUUCAU